rnacentral:rRNA from 1 species
GACGAACGCUGGCGGCGUGCCUAACACAUGCAAGUCGAACGAUGAAGCUGGAGCUUGCUCCGGUGGAUUAGUGGCGAACGGGUGAGUAACACGUGAGCAAUCUGCCCUUGACUCUGGGAUAACUGCGGGAAACUGUAGCUAAUACCGGAUAUGAGAUCUGAAGGCAUCUUCGGGUUUGGAAAGAAUUUCGGUCAAGGAUGAGCUCGCGGCCUAUCAGCUAGCUGGUGAGGUAAUGGCUCACCAAGGCGACGACGGGUAGCCGGCCUGAGAGGGUGACCGGCCACACUGGAACUGAGACACGGUCCAGACUCCUACGGGAGGCAGCAGUGGGGAAUAUUGCACAAUGGGCGAAAGCCUGAUGCAGCAACGCCGCGUGAGGGAUGAAGGCCUUCGGGUUGUAAACCUCUUUUAGCAGGGAAGAAGCGAAAGUGACGGUACCUGCAGAAAAAGCACCGGCUAACUACGUGCCAGCCGCCGCCGUAA